rnacentral:rRNA from 1 species
UACAGAGGUCUCAAGCGUUGUUCGGAUUCAUUGGGCGUAAAGGGCGCGUAGGCGGCGGGGUCAGUCGGGUGUGAAAUCUUGGGGCUUAACCCCGAAACGGCACUCGAAACUGCCCGGCUGGAGGGCCGGAGAGGAGAUCGGAAUUCACGGUGUAGCAGUGAAAUGCGUAGAGAUCGUGAGGAAGACCCGUGGCGAAGGCGGAUCUCUGGACGGCUAACUGACGCUGAGGCGCGAAGGCCAGGGGAGCAAACAGG